CAAUCCAAUUGUGAAAUAAUGUUUUUCUUUUUAAUAAUAUUUGGAGUACUCACCAUCAGUUUCAAUCUGUUUCGAAUUGCAUCAUCCAAAGAGAAUCUUCAUGAAAUCUCAAUAUCUUUUAUUAAUACGACUAUCUUUUUUGUGUAUAUGUUUCUAUCCAAUUAUUUUGCUCAAAUUGUAAUGGAUCACAAUCAUCAAGUAUUUGUUACCGCGUAAGAGAAACAUAUCUACAAAACAGUAUAAUAUUCGAUGGUAUU